UAGUAUUCAAUUGUCAGAGGUGAAANCCUUNGGANUUAUUGAAGACUAACUACUGCGAAAGCAUUUGCCAAGGAUGUUUUCAUUAAUCAAGAACGAAAGUUAGGGGAUCGAAGACGAUCAGAUACCGUCGUAGUCUUAACCAUAAACUAUGCCGACUAGGGAUCGGAUGAUGUUAAUUUUUUAAUGACUCA
rnacentral:rRNA from 1 species